rnacentral:rRNA from 1 species
AUUGAACGCUGGCGGCAUGCCUUACACAUGCAAGUCGAACGGCAGCACGGGUGCUUGCACCUGGUGUCGAGUGGCGAACGGGUGAGUAAUACAUCGUAACAUGUCCUGUCGCGGGGGAUAGCCCGGCGAAAGCCGGAUUAAUACCGCAUACGAUCUACGGAUGAAAGCGGGGGACCUUCGGGCCUCGCGGUAUGGGGUUGGCCGACGGCUGAUUAGCUAGUUGGUGGGGUAAAGGCCUACCAAGGCGACGACGGGUAGCCGGACUGAGAGGGUGACCGGCCAAACGGGGACUGAGACACGGCACAGACUCCUACGGGAGGCAGCAGUGGGGAAUAGUGCACAAUGGGCGGAAGCCGGAUGCAGCGACGCCGCGUGAGGGAUGACGGCCUGCGGGUUGUAAACCACUUUCAGCAGGGAAGAAGCGAAAGUGACGGUACGUGAAGAAGAAGCACCGGCUAACGACGUG